rnacentral:lncRNA from 1 species
AGUGAGCUGCCUCUCUGCGAUUGGUUUUGCCCGAGUUUUAUUUUUGUCUGUCUCAGCUAGAAAGUGGGAGACUUUCAUUUAAAAUGGAAAUUGGGGCGAGGGGUUGGCGGCUGGGCGAAGGGAGCAUUCAAAAGCGGAGAAUGUCACUUUACCCGAGAAAUUCACUACGAUGGGCCAUUGGUUUCUGCUCGGCUCGCAGGCGCACUGCACGAGUGGAGGUGUGGCUAGUGGCUGUGAUGAGAUAAAUCCAUGCAUAGCCUUUUCAUUGCGAGCUUGAAAGUUCUUUUCUAUUACAGUUUUAGCUUUAGGUUUAAUUGGUUCGACUGCCUUCUCCACAAUUUGGGCGAGAAUUUCCUUUGCCUUCUCAGCAAAAGUUGUUCUGCGGACCCGUCUGGGUCAACUUUCAUGAGGGACAUUGAGACAAACAAAUGAAAUAUGGGUUAAAGUACUCUGAGCAGCUACAAAAAGAAGACCAGUCUAUCCUGCUGGAGACAGUGGCCACGUGAAGAAAGAGCUCUUGCAGUAUGAAAGACCACAUGGAAAGAGAGGCCACAUGGAACCAACAGUCAGCAUCUUGGUUUCGGACACGUGAAGAAAUUCAUCUCAGACUGUGUAUCCUAAAUCAGGCACUUGCUGAAUCUAACUACAUGAGUGAGACCAGUUGACAACACAUGGAGCAGACAUGAGCUGUUCUCACCACACAGCUGAACUACCAGACAUGUGAAUGAAGCUAGUUUGGAAGUUCCAGCCCUGGCUAAGCAUCCAGCUGAAUGCAGCCACCUGAGUGACCCCAGCCAAUAAUAUCCAGAGCAGGAGAAUCAUCCAGUUCUCAGUGUCUCCUCUAGAAUGCAGUUUCAAUCUUCCAACCACAGCUUGGGAGGCUGUUCCAGCCUUGCUGACUUUUAGUAAGAAGAAAACAGUUUCCAGUGAAGGUACUAUCUAAAAAUGUCUCCUUUGUGUAGAAGUGGUUUGCCAUCAAACAAUUCUUCUUGCAUCAUCAAACAUCUCUUGACUGUAGCAGCUUGCAAUUUUGCUAUGUAAUUAUUUAUAUAACAUAAGUGGACAAUCUUUUUAUAUAGUAUCUGAUUGCCUUCUCAAAGAAACACUAUAAAGUUUUGACUUUAGCCCCAAUUUUCUAGAAGAGAGAUCUGAGACUCAGAAAAGCUAAUGGCUUGCCUAUAGUCACACAAUUAGACUUCUGAUUCCUAGCCAAUGCUUUUGACUCUAUUCCCUGCCUCCACUGUUGCCCUGGUAGGAAAGUAAUUUAUAUCUGAAAAUUACAUGGAAAAGCCAAACUGUGGAAAUUGAGUUGUACAGGCCACACCCUGGAAUCUGUUGUACAUUUGUUUCAAAGCACCAAAUAUUUGACUUCUGUGGAAAUGGUGCCAAGGUAAAUUAGGUGGAACCGGAAACAGGAACUUGCAUAUAUGUCUGUAUAUUAGUAGCAAUUUGAAAUGUUUGAGUUUCUUUCUUUGUACAAUAGAAAUUGGAAUAAUAUUUGCCAUGACUAGACAAAUAGUACAGGCUGAAAGACCUUAUAUUAUAGAUGACUCAUUCCCAAUAGAUCAUACCCUUUGACAUGACUUUUUAGUUGUUGGGAGGGAUUUUUCCCUAUUAACCAUGCCCAACACAAACUUCUGUUCUUACUGGCUUUCAGAACAAGAUACUUGCAUAAAUUUCCCUGCAGUUAUAUGCUCCCUUUACUUAAAAUCUGAUAGCUUUCUGUAUUUUAUUCUAUUAAAUCUAAAUCCUCAUGCUUUUCAAGAGCUCUCAAUAAUCUGACCCAUCCUAGCCACACAAACUUGUCUCCACUUUUUUUUUUUUCUUUUUUUUUUUUUUUUUUGAGAUGGAGCCUCACUCUGUCACUCACGCUGGAAUGUAGUGGCGCGAUCUCGGCUCACUGUAACCUCUGUCUCCUGGGUUCAGCUAUUCUCCUGCCUCAGCCACCACCUGGGCUAAUUUUUUGUAUUUUUAGUAGAGACUGGGUUUCACCGUGUUGGCCAGGCUGGUCUUGAACUCCUGAUCUCAGGUGAGCCACCCGCCUCGGCCUCCCAAAGUGUUGGGAUUACAGGUGUGAGCCACCACACCCAGCCUGUCUGCCACUUUUCUAAUAGAACUCUUUCACUCUAGUAAGUUUAGGUCUCUGUACCGUCCUUUAAACAAAUUGCUUUCUGCUACUGCUGUGUCUUUUCCUAUCUUGUUUUCUUCAUUUGCCCUGUCCUCUCUAUUUAGAAUCUAAAUUCUAUGUAUUCACUAAGGCUCAGUUCAAAUUCCACCACCAUCACUUACUUUCCUCCUUCUUUUAAUUCGUUAGUGCUUAGAAUUUGUAGUAAAACACAUCUGAGCACUUAUUGUGUGGCAGGACAGGGUUCUUUGAUGCCCCACCCACUUAUUCUUACUGAGAGAAGUAACUGGUAUUAGCAAGAGAGGCUUGUUUAUCUUUUAGGAGUUCCCACUCUGAAGAAUAUGGAUGAGGAUUCAGAGUCAUCCUCCACCCUCAGGGAUGGAGCCAAAUUUAGGGCUCCCUGGGUACAGGCAUAAAGGUGGACCCAUCUUCUAGACACUGGCCAAACACACACAAAAAGCGAGAACUCGCAGAAGAGGGAAGAAAGGAAAGAGACGUCAUGACGCCCAGCAGGAAAUGAGAUUUUGCAGGCUGACCUGAUAGAAUAAAGAAAUGUAUGUUUGUUAUCAUUUUUCUGACUCACUGUAUUGUGACCAAUCAUAGUGUUUUUAUUUUUACUAAGACCUUUACCAGGAUUUACUUGGUUUGUAACUCUUAAGUUACCUUUAAGGAUAGUUGAAUUUUAUCUCUUUCUGUCUAACUUAAAAAUUUUCACUACAUAAGUUUUUUUGACAAGUCUACUUCAGUAUAAAGGAUAUUUAAGUAUUUAAAUUGUACAGUUUUGAGUUUUGACACAUGCAUAUACACCUGAAGCCAUCACCAUGAUCAAGACGGGGAGGACACCCAAAUUUCUUUGUGUCCAUCUCUUCCUUAUCUUGCCUCCUUGCCCCUUCACCAGGCAGCAACUGACCUGUGUUCUGUCAUUAUAAAUUAGUUUGAAUUUUCUAGUAUUCUACAUAAAUGGAAUUAUGUAGGAUGUAUUGUUUUUGUCUGGUUUAUUUCACUCAACCUCCCUAUUGCUAGUAUUGAUUGUUCCUUAUUAUUGCCCAGUAGUGUUCUAAAAUUUAUGAUCUAUUUACUUGAUGAUGGGCAUCUGGGGUUCUUAACUAUUACAAAUGGAGCUACUAUGAACAUUUGUGUGUACAAGUCUUAGUGUGGACAAAUACUUUUAUUUCUCUGGAAUAAAUACCAAGGGGUGGAAAGACUGGGUUCGUAUGAUAGAUGUGGUUUCACUUUUAAAGAAAAUGCCAAACUGAUUGUACCAUUUAAAUUCUAGCUAGCAAUGUUAUAUCAAUUGCCCUUAUGCUUGUCAAUCUUUGUUAUGAUCAGCCUUUCCAAUUUUAGCCAUUCUAGUGGAUGUGUAAUAAUAAUAUUGUGGCUUUGAUUUGCAUUUCACUAAUGGCUAAUGAUUUUGAGUGUCUUUUCAUGUAUAUGUUUGCCAUAUGCAGAUCUACUUUGGCGAAAUGUCUGUUCAAAUCUUUUGCCAAUUUUC